UUACACAUGCAAGUCGAGGGGUAUAGUUCUUCGGGAUUAGAGACCGGCGCACGGGUGCGUAACGCGUAUGCAAUCUGCCUUUCACAGAGGGAUAGCCCAGAGAAAUUUGGAUUAAUACCUCAUAGUAUUACGACUCGGCAUCGAGAUGUAAUUAAAGUCACAACGGUGAAAGAUGAGCAUGCGUCCCAUUAGCUAGUUGGUAAGGUAACGGCUUACCAAGGCAACGAUGGGUAGGGGUCCUGAGAGGGAGAUCCCCCACACUGGUACUGAGACACGGACCAGACUCCUACGGGAGGCAGCAGUGAGGAAUAUUGGACAAUGGGCGCAAGCCUGAUCCAGCCAUGCCGCGUGCAGGAUGACGGUCCUAUGGAUUGUAAACUGCUUUUGUACGAGAAGAAACACUCCUAUGUAUAGGAGCUUGACGGUAUCGUAAGAAUAAGGAUCGGCUAACUCCGUGCCAGCAGCCGCGGUAAUACGGAGGAUCCAAGCGUUAUCCGGAAUCAUUGGGUUUAAAGGGUCCGUAGGCGGUUUAGUAAGUCAGUGGUGAAAGCCCAUCGCUCAACGGUGGAACGGCCAUUGAUACUGCUGAACUUGAAUUAUUAGGAAGUAACUAGAAUAUGUAGUGUAGCGGUGAAAUGCUUAGAUAUUACAUGGAAUACCAAUUGCGAAGGCAGGUUACUACUAAUGGAUUGACGCUGAUGGACGAAAGCGUGGGGAGCGAACAGGAUUAGAUACCCUGGUAGUCCACGCCGUAAACGAUGGAUACUAGCUGUUGGAAGCAAUUUCAGUGGCUAAGCGAAAGUGAUAAGUAUCCCACCUGGGGAGUACGUUCGCAAGAAUGAAACUCAAAGGAAUUGACGGGGGCCCGCACAAGCGGUGGAGCAUGUGGUUUAAUUCGAUGAUACGCGAGGAACCUUACCAAGGCUUAAAUGUAGAUUGACCGGUUUGGAAACAGAUCUUUCGCAAGACAAUUUACAAGGUGCUGCAUGGUUGUCGUCAGCUCGUGCCGUGAGGUGUCAGGUUAAGUCCUAUAACGAGCGCAACCCCUGUUGUUAGUUGCCAGCGAGUCAAGUCGGGAACUCUAACAAGACUGCCAGUGCAAACUGUGAGGAAGGUGGGGAUGACGUCAAAUCAUCACGGCCCUUACGCCUUGGGCUAC
rnacentral:rRNA from 1 species